GGCACGUUCAUUCAUGCCUGCGCUUCUUGCUGAUACGAUCCCCGGAACGCGCCCAUAUAUGGUCUGUCCUUCAAAGAAGAACAGGAUGCAAGACAAAGUUAACGUUACAGCUCUGUUUAUGAGCAUGUGUAAAAGUGCCUGCAGCAACCUGAGGUUUUCUGACUCAUCGUGGAACAGCACAUAAGGAUAUGUUUAUGGAAAGAUCAGUCCUUGCCCUAAGACUCUCUUGUCUGUCUGCUCAGAGGAUCCUGAAUGAAGUCAUGGACAAACUUGCAUAUCUUUGUGUUUUUAGUCAAACACCCCACAAACAGAGUCAAGGCCCUCUCCCCCACAACGCUGUCUGCCCACACAGACACUUCCAUCAGCCUUUCUUACAGUAUGAUCAGACAGGUCAGGAAAUCAAAUUCAGUCAUUUAUGGGUGCGGCUGCAAUUUGGGAGUAGGGAGAAGACUGUUUGGCUUGAAGAAGUGGAAACAUUUUUACAAAACGUCACAGCUAAGACCAUGGUGGUCCAUUAUGUCAGAUCAGCCAUGUUGAACACCCAAAUUAAAAAAAAGAAAACACCCAGAAUAGUAUACACCAGUCAAAACAAGUGCUACUUAGCUAACAGAAUGAUCCCAUGUUGAUGGAAAUAUAUAUAAAGUGGAAAUAUAAUGUAUUUUGCUGAUGGAUCUAACUGAAUUAUGAUUGUUAGAAUGGCUAUAGUAUUAGGACAGUAUUUGUUCCUUUUCCAAAAAAACUACACAUUAUACUGAUUCAUAUCCUUCAAAGAAAGGAUUAGACAAAAUGUUAGACCUUGUCCACUAGGUGUCAUCCUGAGAUAAAACGACAGCCCAGAAGUGCCCUAAACUCUAAGUGGGUCAUCUUCUAUCAUGUUGUGGCUAGCAAAUGUGGUUCUCUCAAAUUGGAUGCCAUGUGAUUUACCAAAAUGGAAAGUCUUCUUUUACA